UACGUAGGGCGCAAGCGUUGUCCGGAAUUAUUGGGCGUAAAGAGCUCGUAGGCGGCCUGUUGCGUCCGCUGUGAAAUCCCGGGGCUCAACCCCGGGCGUGCAGUGGAUACGGGCUGGCUGGAGGCAGGCAGGGGAGAACGGAAGUUCCUGGUGUAGCGGUGAAAUGCGCAGAUAUCAGGAGGAACACCGGUGGCGAAGGCGGUUCUCUGGGCCUGUACUGACGCUGGAGGAGCGAAAGCGUGGGGAGCGAACAGG
rnacentral:rRNA from 1 species